rnacentral:ncRNA from 1 species
GGUCGGGAGUAUGAAGGUGAUACAACACCCACAAGGGAAAAGCCUUUUGCCGUUUCCUGUGUAGCGGUUUGAGAGCUCCUGACCUUUUUACU